GAUGAACGCUGGCGGCGUGCCUAAUACAUGCAAGUCGAACGCUGGAAAUCUAGCUUGCUCGAUUGAAGGAGUGGCGAACGGGUGAGUAAUACAUAAGCAACCUACCCACGAAGACUGGGAUAAUCUCUGGAAACGGGGACUAAUACCGGAUAGGUAAUCGGAAGGCAUCUUCUGAUUAUUAAAGGUUAAAAACACUGGUGGAUGGGCUUAUGGCGCAUUAGUUAGUUGGUGAGGUAACGGCCCACCAAGACGAUGAUGCGUAGCCGGCCUGAGAGGGUGAACGGCCACAUUGGGACUGAGACACGGCCCAGACUCCUACGGGAGGCAGCAGUAGGGAAUUUUCGGCAAUGGGGGAAACCCUGACCGAGCAACGACGCGUGAGUGAUGACGGCCUUCGGGGUGUAAAGCUCUGUUGUAAGGGAAGAACGGUAGAUAGAGAAUAUCUAAAUGACGGUACCUUACCAGAAAGCCACGGCUAACUACGUG
rnacentral:rRNA from 1 species